rnacentral:rRNA from 1 species
ACAAACGCUGGCGGCAUGCCUAACACCUGCAAGUCGAACGGACAGAACAGGGAAGCUUUUCGGAGUGGAACUGGAAAGUUAGUGGCGGAUGGGUGAGUAACGCGUGGACAACCUACCUUGUAAAGGGGAAUAACCUCGAGAAAUCGAAGCUAAUACCCCAUAAUAACCUUGCUUCGCAUGAAGUAAGGAGGAAAGGCGGCCUUAGCGCUGUCGAUACAAGAUGGGUCCGCGUCUGAUUAGCUAGUUGGUGAGGUAAAGGCUCACCAAGGCGACGAUCAGUAGCCGGCCUGAGAGGGUGAACGGCCACAUUGGGACUGAGACACGGCCCAAACUCCUACGGGAGGCAGCAGUGGGGAAUCUUCCGCAAUGGGCGAAAGCCUGACGGAGCAAUGCCGCGUGAGUGAAGAAGGCCUUCGGGUUGUAAAACUCUGUCCUUAUCGAAGAGAGAGUGUUGUAGUAACUGACAAUACUAGGACGGUAGAUGAGGAGGAAGCCCCGGCUAACUAUGUG